CCUGCCCCUAGAGGCGUUGCAGGUGUGGCUGCUGUGUCACAGGUGCGACAGGGGGUGGCAGAGAGGAGAGUGCUUAUGUCUGUGCUCAGUCUUCUGACCUCUGAGCAUCUGAAAUGAUUAGUAACCUCGCACU